rnacentral:antisense_RNA from 1 species
CUUGACCGAGCCGAGCCACAGCGGCCGUUCCCCGGUCCGUGCCUUGCCGUACGUGGCGAGCAGCGCCUGCGCCUC